rnacentral:lncRNA from 1 species
CAUCAAUAAGACACAUCAAUGACGUUGGAGGCAGACUGGGAUGCCAGGGUGAUUUUCCAGCUGGACACCCUGGUGAGGGAGGCGGCCAUCUCACUAGAGAGAGCGGCUUGGACAUUUGGAGACAGAAAAGCAGGAGUGGAAGAGAAAGCCGAGCGCAGCGGAGGGAUGCUACAUAAAGACGACGGUGACCGUGGACAGAGGUUUCCCUCCUGUGCCAGGCAUAUCUGUCACCCGGAGCUUCUCACCUAGUUUUGCAAUAACCACAUGGGGUGUGGUGUC